rnacentral:rRNA from 1 species
UGCCAGCAGCCGCGGUAAUACGAAUGGUGCAAGCGUUGUUCGGAAUCACUGGGCAUAAAGAGCACGUAGGCGGCGGUGUAAGUCAGGUGUGAAAUCCCUCGGCUCAACCGAGGAACUGCACCUGAUACUGCAUUGCUAGAGGGCGGGAGGGGAGAACGGAAUUCCUGGUGGAGCGGUGAAAUGCGUAGAUAUCAGGAGGAACGCCGGAGGCGAAAGCGGUUCUCUGGCCCGUCUCUGACGCUGAGGUGCGAAAGCUAGGGGAGCAAACAGGAUUAGAUA